AAAAAAGCCUCAGAUCUAACUCAACAUGCUUCAAGAGAGUCUCAUCCUUUUCAAAACAUGUUCGAUCGAUCCCUAAUCUCAGAACUCGUGUCGGUAAGGUAAAGAACCACGAGUGAGUUUUUUUGGGGACAAAUUUUUGAGAGAAACGCAUAGAAACUGACAGAAGAGAGUGAGCACACAAAGGCACUUUGCAUGUUCGAUGCUUUUGCUUCUCUUGCGUGCUCACUGCUCUAUCUGUCAGAUUCCGGCGCCGAUUCAUUUCGGUCCGUUCACGUUUUCUUCUUCUAAAUUGUGUUCCCAUCUCUCUCUCUCUCUCUUGUGUUCUUCAUCUCUCCAAAGGUAUGUGUAGAUACGAUCUUGAUAUGAUAGCUAUAUAUGAUGCAACUUGUUCUUAUUUUGCCAUUGAUUUGGUUUCCAAUUGCAUGCGACUUUGCUUUUUUUGUCGAGCUUUAUAUUUUAUGGGAUCAUUAGUAUCGAAAGCUUAAUCUAUGAGUUUAAGGCGUGGUUAAGUGAGAUUAACAUGGGACCAUUAACGUUAACCUAGUUUUUCCUUAGGCUGGUCCUAACUCUUUCAAAUCCUCAACAUGUCCUCGAUCAAAGUAAAUAUUAUAUGGUUUAUAAUUUAAUUUCCUUUCUCUUUCUCUCGUUUCUCAUUAGCACUUUUAAUCCGUGCUUCUUUGGACUCUUGAUUCAUAUAUAUAUGUGUAGAGAUAUAUUAUUUGCUUCAUAUGAUCAUAUCUGUGUAUAGCCAUGGAUCUUGAGAGAGUACUGUUCAUGAUCUUCGAGUUGCUUUUAAUUAAUUAGUCGUUUGUUGUACAGAUUAUUUAUGUAUAUUGUAUGCUGAUAUAUGUUAAUUUUUAUUCCAUUUAUAUAAUUAUGUUUCUAAUUUAGGCUAUUAUACAUAGCAUAAUUUGUAUUAUACUACAUGUAAAUGGUAUAUAAUUUAUAUAUCAUUGAUUCCAUGUGAUCACGUUGUGAAUCUUGCAAGAAUAUUCUUGUGGGUCUGUUUCUCUUCAUUUUUGAACAUGUUCUUUCUCGAGUAUUUUUCCACAGUUUUUUUUAUAUUAAUUUUGAAUUUGAUAAGUAAUUUUGAAUCUAGGAAAGCGAUUUGUAGAUCUGUUUGCUAAGUAGGAAUUUACAGUGUUUCUAGUGGUUAAUAUUCGUUUUAUCACUAGUUUGCAAAGAUGAUUAAUAUGUGAUUUUUACCUCACUUAAAUGGAUUCGAGUUGUUUUUUUUUUUUUUUUUGUGUUUUGACACUCAAAGUUUCAUUUUAAAUGCAUUCAUAUAUAUGUAUUUAUGGCAGCUGAUAAAAUUUUGACAAUUCGUUAAAACAUCUAACGUUCUUUGUUUCUCUUGUAUUGGUAAAUGCAUAAAUUGUGUUGUUUUUGCUUUUGUCAUGUUUUCUCAUUUCUUCCCAUGUUUUCCAGUGUUUUCAAACCAAAGAAGCCAUAUGACACGUAAUUUUAGGAAUGUUCUUGCUAUAAUUGGUUUUCAAUUUCUUCAGGAAGGUUAGACUUUCUCGAUACUUGUGAAAGGUGCAUGUCAACAUUAACUCUUUAUUGGGAAACCUCAAGAGGCAUGAAAAAGGUUGAGGUUGCAAAUUGCCUUCUAGCAUCAGAAUUAACUAUGUAAAUGGAAUAUGGUUUGCAAAUUAUGUAUGUAUUGGAUUACAUAAAUGUUAGAAGAUGUCACUAAGACUUUGUUUUCUUUUGCAGAUUAUAUUUAUAUGGAAAGUAAGAAUCAUAUGUGGUGCAGUUUUGUUCAGAUAAAAAGAGAAAUCGGAGGAAGAUCGAAUUAAUAAAAACGUGUCAUCAAUGGUUCUUGCAAAGAACAAGGAAUAUCGGUUUGGAUGAUGUUGGACAUAUGUUUGACGCAGCCCGAUUUGAAUGAUCACGCAAAGUUAUUGAGAUCAAUGCAGAGUUGACCCGAAUUGAAUAAACCUGUUUGUAAUUCUUUUUGUGCUUUGAUUUAUCAGUUAAAUGUCGAAUGUAUCACAUAUACAGUAUGUAGUUGAUCUGGUUUAGAGUCAGGGAUUAGAGAGUGUUUGACUAAUUAUAUGGUAAGUAGGAUAUGAUUGGGAUUA